GUGGGGAAUAUUUGACAAUGGGCGAAAGCCUGAUCCAGCCAUGCCGCGUGAGUGAUGAAGGCCUUAGGGUUGUAAAGCUCUUUUGUCCGGGUAGAUAAUGACUGUACCGGAAGAAUAAGCCCCGGCUAACUUCGUGCCAGCAGCCGCUGUAAUACGAAGGGGGCUAGCGUUGCUCGGUAUCACUGGGCGUAAAGGGCGCGUAGGCGGACUUUUAAGUCGGAGGUGAAAGCCCAGGGCUCAACCCUGGAAUUGCCUUCGAUACUGGGAGUCUUGAGUUCGGAAGAGGUUGGUGGAACUGCGAGUGUAGAGGUGAAAUUCGUAGAUAUUCGCAAGAACACCGGUGGCGAAGGCGGCCAACUGGUCCGAAACUGACGCUGAGGCGCGAAAGCGUGGGGAGCAAACAGGAUUAGAUACCCGUGUAGUCC
rnacentral:rRNA from 1 species